GUUGCUCACAUGGCUUGUAUCCUGACUCCUCUGCAUAGUUUGUGUCCUUAGAUGAAUUGAAAAGGACUGAAAAACCUUCUGUUGCUGGGAACACUGCUUGGGGGGCAGGAACUGAAAUCCCAAGUCACUGAGCCCCCUGGAAGGGACCCCAAGGUGAAUUCGUGAUGUUCCCUGUGAGCCAGGGAGACCUCAAAUAUCCUCCCCUUUGAUGGCAGGCUGGGGAGAUGGGGAUUGUCUGUGUUCUACUCAAAUGGUAAAAGCAGCACCUUUGGUCACUGGCUUCCAGAAAUCAGGAAUGACACAUGGAAGGAAUUUUAUGGUAUUUUGUCUUACCAUAAAACUUAAACUUGGAGUUCCUAUUGUGGUGCAGCAGACACAAAUCCCACUAGGAACCAUGAGGUUGUGGGUUUGAUCCCUGGCCUCGAUCAGUGGGUUAAGGAUCCUGAGUUGCUGUGGCUGUGGGCAGGCUGGCAGCUGUAACUCCGAUUUGACUCCUAGCCUGGGAACGUCCAUAUCUGGUGAGUGAGACCCUAAAAAGCGAAAAAACCAAAACCAAAAACAAAAAAAAAACUUCAACUUACUUGUUUAAGUCUUUAAUCCAUUUUGAGUUUAUUUUUGUGUAUGGCGUGAGGGUGUGUUCUAGUUUCAUUGAUUUACAUGCAUGUGUCCAAUUUUCCCAGCACCACUUUCUGAAGAGACUUUCUUUUUCCCAUUUUAUAUUCUUGUCUCCUUUGUGAAGAUUAAUUGACCAUAGGUGUCUGGGUUUAUUUCUGCAUUCUCUAUUCUUUUUCGGUCUUUUCUAGGGCCACACCCACAGCAUACAGAGGUUGCCAGGCUAGGGGUCUAAUCGGAUCUGUAGCUGCCAGCCUAUGUCACAGCCACAGCAACUCGGGAUCCAAGCAACAUCUGCAACCUAUACCACAGCUUGAGGCAACAUCGGAUCCUUAACCCACUAGAAAGGCCAGGGAUCAAACCCACAACCUCAUGGUUCCUAGUCGGAUUUGUUAACCACUGAGACACGACAGGAACUCCUGGGUUCUCUAUUCUGUUCCAUUGGUCUGUAUGUCUGUUUUGAUACCAGUACCAUACUGUCUUGAUUACUGUAGCUUUGUAAUAUCACCUGAAGUCUGGGAGAGUUAUGCCUCCUGCUUGGUUUUUGUUCCUCAAGAUCGCUAUGGCAAUUCUGGGUCUUUUAUGGUUCCAAUUAAAUUUUUGAAUUGUUUGUUAUAGUUCUGUGA
rnacentral:lncRNA from 1 species